GAAAUGCGAUAAGUAAUGUGAAUUGCAGAAUUCAGUGAAUCAUCGAAUCUUUGAACGCACAUUGCGCCCGCCAGUGUUCUGGCGGGCAUGCCUGUUCGAGCGUCAUUUCAACCAUCAAGCCCCGGGCUUGUGUUGGGGACCUGCGGCUGCCGCAGGCCCUGAAAACCAGUGGCGGGCUCGCUGUCACACCGAGCGUAGUAGAUUCUCAUCUCGCUCAGGGCGUGCUGCGGGUUCCGGCCGUAAAACAGCCUUAUUUUACCCAAGGUUGACCUCGGAUCAGGUAGGAAGACCCGCUGAACUUAAGC
rnacentral:misc_RNA from 1 species